UGCCAGCCGCCGCGGUAAUACGUAGGGUGCAAACGUUGUUCGGAAUCAUUGGGCGUAAAGCGCGUGUAGGUGGCUAAGUAAGUCAGAUGUGAAAGUCCUGGGCUCAACCUAGGAAGGGCAUUUGAAACUGCUUAGCUAGAGGAAGGCAGAGGGAGGUGGAAUUCCUAGUGUAGAGGUGAAAUCCGUAGAUAUUCGGAGGAACACCAGUGGCGAAGGCGGCUUUCUGGACCGAUACUGACGCUGAGACGCGAAAGCGUGGGGAGCAAACAGGAUUAGAUA
rnacentral:rRNA from 1 species